UACGUAGGUGGCAAGCGUUGUCCGGAAUUAUUGGGCGUAAAGCGCGCGCAGGCGGUCCUUUAAGUCUGAUGUGAAAGCCCCCGGCUCAACUGGGGAGGGUCACUCGAUACUGAUCGACUCGAAGGCAGAAGAGGGAAGCGGAAUUCCCGGUGUAGUGGUGAAAUGCGUAGAUAUCGGGAGGAACACCAGUGGCGAAGGCGGCUUUCUGGUCUGCUCUUGACGCUGAGGCGCGAAAGCUAGGGUAGCAAACGGG
rnacentral:rRNA from 1 species